rnacentral:rRNA from 1 species
UACGUAGGGACCGAGCGUUGUCCGGAAUCAUUGGGCGUAAAGAGCGUGUAGGCGGCCCCUUAAGUCCUGCGUGAAAUCCUGCGGCUCAACCGCAGACGGUCGUGGGAAACUGGAGGGCUAGAGUGCGGGAGAGGAGAGUGGAAUUCCCGGUGUAGCGGUGAAAUGCGCAGAUAUCGGGAAGAACACCCGUGGCGAAGGCGGCUCUCUGGAACGGUACUGACGCUGAGACGCGAAAGCGUGGGGAGCGAACAGG